rnacentral:lncRNA from 1 species
CACGGGUAGCCCUUUCCUACUCGAGCCCUCUCACCCUGCCCAAGUGCUAGGUCGGCUCUGAAUUUCAUAUCAAACAGAUAGAAUGUGAAGUGGGAUUCCAAACAUAAUAUGGUCCAUCCAUUUCUGAAUGACCACCAAACAUAAUCUAGAGCAUCGCGGGCUCUAAGCACAUACCCUUUACCAUUUUUGGCAAAGGUCCAAAUAAUCC